CUAGGCUUAUUGACAGCUUCCCUGAUAAGGUAAACAACAGUCUAUAAUCAUUAACAGCUCGUGCAGAGAUCUGCAUGGGUUUGCUGAUAUGAGUUCUAAUAGAGCUAUGGAGAAGGAAUUACAAACACAGGCAGAAAGGACAUCGUUCUCAUGUGUCACUUUUUAUGGUGUAGAUUUGUAUUUUGAUUCCUUUCACAGUGAAGGUUGCUAAGAGUUAUAGCUGUCUGAGGGUCAACAAAUUUCACAAAGAACUGGUCCCCUCCAUCAGCCUGAAACAAUCCCAGAACCUUGAGCUCUGAAAUUCGUGACACCCCCAUGGAAAAGUAUCAUUUGCUGUGAUUUAUUCUGGCAGGUACAUUAUUGGGUGCAUGUAAACCAAGACAGAUGGCUGUGCAGGAGAGGGGCACAAGGAGCUCCAAAUCACACUUUUGGAAACUUUUCUCGGAGUGGUGUAUCAGGAGCAAAGAGCCUUUCAUGGGGUGAGGUAUCACCAGCUGAGGAGCACACCCUAUGCACACCUUCAGGAAAUUCAUCCCAGGAGACCAGCCCUGUUCUGCAGUUAAAAACCCCAGGAAUUGUGGAGCCAGCACCAGAUCCCCACAGCAGUGGCUCUGCCCUAUUAACUGGUGGUGACAGGGCCCCACCAGUACCUGUGUGCUUGGCAUGGCACAAGCCAGACCAUCGUGGUGGAAGAAUAAGAAACAAGUGGUCCUGGUGUUAAACGGUGAAGGGAAGUCAUCCAUUUUCUGUUAUUUUACCUAGUGAGGUAUUUUUUGUCACAUUUUGAUCAAAGGGAGCUCUGACAGGGGGUUCCAGAGGCUGCAAGGAAGGAGCAUCUCAGGUGGGGAAGCAAAUGUCUGCAGACAUCCCUGGAAGAUGGGGAGUGAUUAUCCCACGCAGGUGUAAACUCUGCUUAUUUGCUUUGCAUCACCACCCCUAAUCCGCCAUGGGAGACGGAGACUGGAGUUUUGAGCUAAGAUGUUCAGCAGGCCUCUGUCUCACACUUUAAUGACACAAAAAAUAACAGAUAUUACAUUUCACCUGCUAUUUCUUUGAGUCUGGAACAUCCCUCUCCUGCUGGCCUUAUCAAAACUCCCAUUGUAAUUGGCAAGUUUUCAUUUCAGUGGGAAUCUUGGGGGGGAUGUUGGGGGGAGGUCAUUGAUUUCUCACAACCGAUUCAAUCUUUUUAUAUGCCUGACUGCCCUAAAUCACUACAAGUAGGAAACUAUUUUCAAAAUUUCUCAAGAGCCCUGAAUGUAUUGAUUGAGUCUAACUUUGACUUCAGACAUUAAAUUCUUUCUUUUCCUUGAGAAAAACAACCCCUAACCUUCUAUAAGGCCACUUGGUUUUAGUUGUCUGUUCUUGCUCCAUUUAUUUAUGCUCCUCUCAAUGGCAGUCAGAUUAAGCCUUUGACAGCUUGUUCAAAAUUUCCUUAUUAUUGUUUUCCAUUUUCCAAUGAAAGUUAAUUUUAUUCAAAUUUUCUUCCAUUGUGUUGGUUCAAUUACUAGCCCCAAACAAACACUUGUUGUGUUUUGUGCUUAAUAGCAGCAUAUUGCCUGUGUAGUCAUGUUUAUAAUUAUUUCUUCUAAAUUCCGCAAUCUCCAAUUAAACUGCGAGAACUUUGAAACUUAGAAGUUGGUUAAUGGGGAAAAAACCCUUCACUGUUGGAUAAAUCUUUUUGCUAAUAUCCUCCCUUGUCUUUAUAAAUAUACCCUGAGAUUUAAUGCAGUUAGCAUGAAGAUUAGUGGCAACGUUUUACCUCAUUUCCCCCAAUCUAUUACAGUGUGCAGCUCAAUUAGAAUUUUUAGAGGUGGUCCAUCAUGCUAAGGGCUCCAGUUUGGAUUUUAAGUCAUGCAAGAGCUCAGCACACAGUAGCACAUCUGGAAGCUGCAGUGUCCCAAGCCUUAUCAGCUCAGAACCGUGUAUUUGGAAAAACAGUUAAUAUGGAGCUUACCUGGACUAUAUGGAAUAAUUUACAGUGGAGCAAAAUGGCAGCAAAAUAAAGAAAAAAAAUCAUUCA
ensembl:lncRNA